rnacentral:rRNA from 1 species
UACAGAGGUCCCGAGCGUUGUUCGGAUUCACUGGGCGUAAAGGGUGCGUAGGUGGUGAGGUAAGUCGGAUGUGAAAUCUCCGAGCUCAACUCGGAAAUGGCAUUGGAAACUACCUUGCUCGAGGGUUGGAGGGGGGACUGGAAUACUUGGUGUAGCAGUGAAAUGCGUAGAUAUCAAGUGGAACACCAGUGGCGAAGGCGGGUCUCUGGGCCGUAACUGACGCUGAGGAGCGAAAGCGUGGGGAGCGAACAGG